rnacentral:rRNA from 1 species
UACGUAGGUGGCAAGCGUUGUCCGGAUUUACUGGGUGUAAAGGGCGUGUAGGCGGGAUGGUAGGUCAGAUGUGAAAUACCUAGGCUCAACCUAGGGGCUGCAUUUGAAACCACCGUUCUUGAGUGUCGGAGAGGAAAGCGGAAUUCCUAGUGUAGCGGUGAAAUGCGUAGAUAUUAGGAGGAACACCAGUGGCGAAGGCGGCUUUCUGGACGAUAACUGACGCUGAGGCGCGAAAGCGUGGGUAGCAAAC